AGCCUAUGGUGGUUUAAGAGUAGUGGACAGAAAAGAUUUCUGAAAAAAAAAAUCCAAACU
rnacentral:snoRNA from 1 species